rnacentral:rRNA from 1 species
UACAGAGGGGGCAAGCGUUGUUCGGAAUUACUGGGCGUAAAGGGCGCGUAGGCGGCCCUCUAAGUCAGAUGUGAAAGCCCCGGGCUCAACCUGGGAAUGGCAUUGGAAACUGGCGGACUAGAGUGUGGCAGAGGGGGGUGGAAUUCCGCGUGUAGCAGUGAAAUGCGUAGAGAUGCGGAGGAACACCGAUGGCGAAGGCAGCCCCCUGGGCUAACACUGACGCUCAGGCACGAAAGCGUGGGGAGCAAACAGG